UACAGAGGGUGCGAGCGUUAAUCGGAAUUACUGGGCGUAAAGAGUGCGUAGGUGGUUGGAUAAGUCAGAUGUGAAAGCCCUAGGCUCAACCUGGGAAUGGCGUUUGAUACUGUUUAGCUAGAGGAUGGGAGAGGGAAGUGGAAUUUCCGGUGUAGCGGUGAAAUGCGUAGAUAUCGGAAGGAACACCAGUGGCGAAGGCGGCUUCCUGGACCAUUACUGACACUGAGGCACGAAAGCGUGGGGAGCGAACAGG
rnacentral:rRNA from 1 species